rnacentral:rRNA from 1 species
AGCCCUAAGUGGGUGGUAAACUCCAUCUAAGGCUAAAUAUGACCACGAGACCGAUAGCGAACAAGUACCGUGAGGGAAAGUUGAAAAGCACUUUGAAGAGAGAGUUCAAGAGUACGUGAAACCGUUUAGGGGUAAACCUGAGAAACCCGAAAGGUCGAAGGGAGAAAUUCAUUCGCGUUUCGCUGUCGGCGUGAGACGGGGUUGUGUGACGGAGAAGGCGUUCGCGUGUUCUCCGCACCUUCCGUUUUUCGAACCGAUGGCGAACGCGUGCACUUUUCUCCUGGUAGGACGUCGCGAUCCGUUGGGUGUCGGUCUACGGCUCGCGGUGGAGUCCGAUCGUACAGCUUGCUGUAUGACCGGACCCGCGUGUCCUGGCUGACUCGCUCGACGGUAUUUGAAAGGUUUAAGGCCGCUCGCUCUAGAAGCGUUCGACUCGUGGCAAGCGCGUCAGAUGUGUGUCGGUGACCGGACCCAGUGCCGGUUCUGACCUCUGAUGACUGUUGGCCGCGAAGUUCUCGAACAGACCUCUAACCGAUCUGCGACGC